CACUUCACGGUGUUCAAUACCACCGCUGCUUCAACAAAGCAUCAAAACAUUCUCAACUUAUAAAAACGAAUCUGAAACCUUCAUUUUCAUCAUUUGAGUAUGGCACAAUCCUGGGUAUGUUUCUGGAACAGCUAAAAUUUAAUUGGUAGUUUAGGCGGAUAUCUUAUGGUGGUAGUUGAGAAUUUUAUAUGCUUCCAUUUUCCAAGAUAUUUGAGUCAAAUGCAAAGCAAGAUCGAAGCAUGAAAGCAGAUUACGAGGGGCAUUGCUGCAUCUACCAUCUCCUAGUGUUUCACUAUGAUAUGGUUUUCAAAAUUCAGAAUCAUUCCUAAAGAGUUUGAUGCGCAUGAGUAAAUGAUCAGUUCAAUUGAUUGGAAGAUAUGGUAUGCUAAACAGAAAACAUUAUUUUUCUUACAGGACUCAGAUUCAUUUCCCCGCCAAGUUCUCCUCUGCAGAGCAAAGUUUGGUAGGCAAUGUAUUUGGAGACUGUGAUACUGCGAACAACAACUAAGGAAGGGCAGUUUAAAUAAAUUGAGCAGUUUAUAAUUUAAACAAAUGCUGAACUUGACUGCUGAGUUUUGAAGUACUAUGGAACUGGUUGUAAUACGACAACAAGAUGACGCUUUACAUUGGUCGCGAAGCUUCAAAGUUGUAGAAAAGAAUUUAUGCGGAGACAACUACAGAGAUCGAGAUCUUCUUCUAGACUGUUGGAAAUACGUUCUUGCCGGUCUCAUUUUUCAGGUUCCAUUUUGUUUCUCAUCUUUAUUCAAAUUAAACACAAUUUCUAUUAGCAAUAUCUAGUUUUCUGAAUAAUUUCAAAUGUUUACUUUUUCCUAAAAAUUGAAAGGAAAAAAAAGAACUUUUUUAGCAGUGGAUGUG